rnacentral:lncRNA from 10 species
UCACUGAGUGCUAAUUCACUGAGCUUCCCUCCUGCUCACUCUUUCCCCUUUAAAUAUUGAAAUUCUCAAAACUUUCUUCGGAAAAAGUGCUGGUCACAGGUCCUACUGUGACUUGGGUUUCUAUUUCCCAGACACAUCCUCAACCUUGGCAAGAUAAACCUCUAAUCAAUUGAGAUCUGUGUCAGUCACUCUUUCGUUGGGUUACAUUUUGGUAGCCAUGAAGGCAUUCUCUGAAAGGAGUGUGAAGUUUAGACCUCGGUCUACAGCAGCUUCCCUAUCAGGGCCCUGCUACUAGCUGGAGCUCUUAUUGUCCUGACAGAUGACUUGAUUUGCUAAAGUGUGGGAGCUUCUCCCUCCAGAGAUCCCUGAUCUCCCAAUAAUUUUUGGUUGAGAUCUGAGGUUUAUUCUGCUGCUGAGCUCCUCUUCUGGGAGUUUUCUGCUUCUGUGAUGGCCAAGAGCAGGCUUCCACUUGGGCUCCAUCUCCAGGAAGUUCACAGAGUUUUGGGCCUUUGGAGUGGAAGGUCAUCCAAGAAACGAAGACCCCAGAGAGUAUGGCCGGACAGAAGUGUGGGUUAUACCUCAUUUAUAGCUAGUGACACUGUCCUUCUCUGAGCUAUCUUUUGGGUGAUUCUGGAUUUUGUAAAAAAACUGCUUGUCACCUCUUUGGAGACACUUUGUGUGUCCAAGGUUAAGUCAUAUCCUUGGUUAAGGUACUUGGGAGGAUACUUUUUGUUAAAGCAGUUCAAAAGCCAGAAAUAUUAGAAAUAUGAACUGUUCUAUCUAAAAUCUAGUAAUAAGAAAUUUGAAAGGAUUUUUAAGAGCUCUAUCCUCAAAAGUCGACAAUAAAAACUGACAUUUAGAUUAUAUAUCAAUAUAUAUGUAGUUAUAAGACCUCUAUUUGCUCUCUCUGUGAAGCUCUCAGUCAACUAAAUUUCUCUCUUAAACCUCUGCCAGCCACAUGAGUUCCCUCUGUUUCCCUAUUUAUUUAUAUAGGCCCGUCCUUUCUCUUGCAACCCUUGGUACAACAUAAGGGGACAAAAAGAAAAAAUUUAACAGCCUGGGACUUCUAACCUCCACGCCAACCCCCUCUCCCUCCUUAAGAAAAAACAGAAAAGGCACUGCAGAUUACUUUUUUUAGAGAAAUUGCUGUUUUUUUUUUAACUCAGGGAAUCCCAAGAGUUGGAAUGAACAGAGUCCUUUCAAAUCCAAACUUCUGCUUUUUUUUGGAUUGCGUAACCUUAUCUUUUUGGCUUUUGGGGGUACAAGAAAUUACUUUGUAUCGUAAAAAAUUUGGCUUUGGUGUAUAUAAUGACAAGGGAAUGGGCUGAUCACAGAGUGGGCUGAUUGGCAUCUGGUUGCCCACCAGCCUUGGAGGAAUUUCCUUGUAGCGAAAUUCACUGUGAAACUGUUAUGUGGCCCAGUCCCCAUGGCGUUUCUUCCUUCGUCGAAAUCCAAUACUCAUGGUGGGCCCUGCCUUGAGUUUAAUGUUCCAUUUAAAAGAUCAAAACUAAAUUAAAAGUCCCUAUCUAAAUAAAAUUGGCUUUCUUAUAAAAUCUGAUGAUAAAUUUAAGUAAUUUUAUAUUACCUUGGCAUCCAUUUAUUAAUCUUCCUCUAACACACCCAAAAUUCUUUUGAAAAGCUUAAAUUCUCUAGUUCUGUCUGUACUAUGAGAUGUAAAUUCUCUAUCUUGUUUCACAUAGGUGUUGUGUCUUUAGACAUGCAAAUUUAGGGUGGCCUGGCUAACAAUUGACUAGGGCAGUAAAGCAGAUAAUUGGAAGAACGAAUGAAAAAAUUCUUAUUUAAAACUUGCAAAUGAAGAAUCUUAUAAAUCUAGAAAAACUGCUUUUGUUUGUGUGGUCUGUAUGUCUAUGUGUUUAUAUGUGUCACGUGUAUGUGAUGUUUCACAAACAUAUUUGAAAGUUCUAACUAAUUGGCCUAAAGAAAAAGUAAGCACUUAAAUCAAAUCUCAUAUCAAAAAAUAGAAACUUUAACUCAAAUGACUUUAGUAAUCAUUAGUAAAUAAAGACAGUUUUGAAAUUAUUUGUAAAGUAAAAUAGAAAAGUCUUCAAAAUUUGCAGUUCAGAUACUGUUUCUGUUAGAUAUUUUAAGGUUUAAAACUUGGCUUCUGUAAUACUUUUGAUCCUUGCUUAACUUCUCUACAAAUUUAUGUAUUUAGAUUUGAGCCUUUGGGGCCACGAAAAAGCCUAGCUUUAUGCAUUGUCCUUUGUCGUGGGCUUACUCUGAAUCUGGUACAUAUUUAAAAUCCCUUACUUCUGGGCAUGGUGGUUCAUACCUGUAAUCCCAGCAGUUUGAGAGGCCGAGACGGGUAGAUCACUUGAGAUCAGGAGUUCCAGACCAGCCUGGCCAACAUGAAGAAACCCUGUCUCUACUUAAAAUACAAAAAUGAGUCAACCAUGGUGGUGUGUACCUGUAAUUCCAGCUACUCGGGAGGCUAAGGCACAAGAAUAGCUGAAACCCAGGAGGCAGAGGUUGCAAUGAGCAGAGAUUGCACCACUGGACUCUAGCCUGGAUAAUGGACUGAGACUCUGUCUCAAAAUAAGAUUAUUCAUUGUCUUACAUAUAGUAACACAUUUUAUUGUCACAAUGAAUCUCUGAGGAGCUGAGCUUUCGUUGCCGUCCAUCACUGCUGAAUGCUGCCGUCGCAGACCCUCCGCUGACUUCCACCCCUCCGGAUCCAGCAGGGUGUCUGCUGUGCUUCUGAUUCAGUGAAGCACCCAUUGCUGACUUCCACCCCUCCAGAUCCGGCAGGGUGUCCACUGCGCUUCUGAUCCAGUAAGGCACCCAUGGCGGCUCCUGCUCCCCACUGGGCUAGAGGCUUACCAUUGUUCCUGCCCAGCUAAGUGCCCGGGUUCAUCCUAAUCGAGCUGACCACUAGUCGCUGGGUUCCACAGUUCUCUUCCAUGACCCACAGCUUCUAAUAGAGCUAUAACACUCACUGCACGGCCGGAGGUUCCAUUCCUUGGAAUCCAUGAGGCCAAGAACCCCAGGUCAGAGAAUAAAAGGCUUGCUGCCAUCUUGGAUGCAGCCCACCACCAUCUUGGGAGCUCUAACAGCAAAGACCCACCCAGUAACAGUGUUGUGUGUAGGACAUUUCUCUCCCCAGUGUAGAGCUUCAUGCCAAGUUGCAUAAGGGCUUUCACAAAAAAAGCUCUAAGUGACUUGUAAUUUUGAUUGACUGGUAUGUAGCCAUGUAUGAAUGUGGUUGAACACAGAAGGAAACCAUCGAUAUUCACAUAUCUCUGCACUGAAACAUCUUUUUUUCACUAACUCAGCUCUGGUAUUUGCCUUUAGUCACCAUCUCAUAUCAUGACAUUUUCUAAGAUGAGUUUACCUCUGGGAUGACACUUGUCCUUCUUUCCUAGAAUUCUAAGAUGAGUUUACCUCUGGGAUGACACUUGUCCUUCUUUCCUAGAAUUCUAAGAUGAGUUUACCUCUGGGAUGACACUUGUCCUUCUUUCCUAGAAUGACCGCAUAUAGGUCUACUUCACAUACACUUAAAAUGUUUCUAAAACUUUUGGUUGCAUGAAGAACAAAAUGUUUACUUUUACUUGGAAAUAUUGGUGAGGUUUUCAUAGAGAAAAUGAGAAAUAGCUCCCUCUGAAUAGUGUACCAGAAUCUCACAGCAAACAAAAGUGGUGAAUCCUGGUGGGAAUGCAAAAUAGUACAGUUAUAGAAGAGUGGCAGUUUCUUACAAAACUAAAACCUACUUUUAUUAUAUGAUCUAACAAGAGUGCCCCUUGGUAUUUAUCCAAAUGAGUUGGAAACUUAUAUCCAUACAAAAGCCUGCAUACAAAUAUUUAUAAUAGUUCUAUUUAUAACUGCCUAAACUUGGAAGCAACUAAGCUGACCUUCAGUAGGUAAAUAGAUUUAAAAAAAAAAAACUAUGGAAUAUUUUGCAGUGCAAAGAAGAAAUAAGCUAUCAAGCUAUGUAAAGACACAGAGGAAUCUUGCCUAUAUAUUACUAAGUGAAAGAAACCAACCUGAAAAAGCUACCUACUAUAUGAUUCUCACUAUAUGGCAUUCUAGAAAAGACAAGAGUAUAGACAGUAAAAAUAUCAUAGUUUCCAAGUGUUGGAGAGAGGGAGAGAUGAAUAGGUAAGGCACAGAAGAUUUUUAGGCCAGUGAAACUAUUCUGUGUAAUACUAUAGUGGUGAAUACAUGUCAUCAAUACAUUUGACAAACAU